rnacentral:rRNA from 1 species
GACGAACGCUGGCGGCGUGCUUAACACAUGCAAGUCGACGACGCUACUGAGUAGCAAUAUUUAGUAGUGGAGUGGCGCAAGGGUGAGUAAUGUAUACGUAACCAACCCAUCGGAGACGGAUAACAUUUCGAAAGGGAUGCUAAAACGGCAUGAAGCCACGAUUUCGCAUGAGAUUGUGGUUAAAGAACCGGUAACAGGUUGCCGAUGGCUGGGCGUAUAUCCGAUUAGCUAGUUGGUAGUGUAAUGGACUACCAAGGCGACGAUCGGUAGCUGGUCUGAGAGGAUGAUCAGCCACACUGGCACUGAGACACGGGCCAGACUCCUACGGGAGGCAGCAGUGGGGAAUAUUGGGCAAUGCCCGCAAGGGUGACCCAGCAACGCCGCGUGGAGGAUGAAGGCCGUAAGGUUGUAAACUCUGACAAGCAGGGAAGAACGGCUAUGGUAAAAGGCCAUAGAAUGACGGUACCUGCCUGAAGCCCCGGCUAACUACGUG